UUCUCGUCUCUUCUCUCUCUUUCCAUUCCUCUCUCUCUUCUCCAUUCCUUGACCAGCAACUGCAAAAAAAAAAAAAACAACCUCCAAACGCUCCCUUCUCUCAACUUUGGCUGACGAUUGCGCUCGCGCUCUCUUCCUCCAUGAGAUAUAAAUGGGAAAGUACAUGAGGAAGGCCAAAACGACAGCCGAGGUCGCCGUUAUGGACCUUUCCCUUGGUGUCCGUACCCGCGCCAAAACCCUAGCCCUGCAACGACAAGCCAGAUUACCUUCGUCUCCGCCUGAACCACCUCUUGUUCCCGCCCAGCCUUCUCCGCCAGCGGCCUCUUGUGGAUACCUGCAGCUCCGUAGUCGCCGCCUCGUUAAGCUGCCGAUUCUCGUACAUGAUUCCAAGCGGCAAAAACACGGCCAUAAUAAGGAAGCGCAAAACCCUAACAACUCCAAUUCAAUAGCGGGUUCGGGGGUGCGAGCGUGCUCAAUGGAUUCUGGAACUAAUGGGUCGGGUCAAAAGAAGGAAGUGAAUGGAGAAAACAAAGAAGAGGAGCUUCAAGAGAACAAUAAUGAUAUUAAUGAGAGUAAGGAUUUAGGUAUUGAGGCUUCAUUUGGGGAGAACGUUUUGGAAAUCGAAGGUAGUGAGAGGUGGGUGUUCUGGUUUUCUGUUGGUUUCUUUGUCGGUGGAUGCCUUCCCAAUUCUUCAACAACUUUAGUUUGGGUUAGGUGGUUUCAGUUGAACACAAAUAUGCUAAGGGGCACUAGGGAAUCCACUCCUUGCAGUUUGAUAAGGGACCCAGAGACCAUAAGAACCCCUGGUUCGACUACUAGACAUGCCAGCUCAGCUGAAACUAGCAGGAGAAUGCAGGACUCCAUGCGUAGACACAUCCCAACCGCAAAUGAAAUGGAUGAGUUCUUUGCUGGAGCUGAAGAAGAGCAGCAGAGACAAUUUAUUGAGAAGUAUAACUUUGACCCCGUUAAGGACAAGCCGCUCCCUGGACGUUAUGAAUGGGAGAAGCUGGAUCCUAGAAGACCCUAGUGUUCCAUCACAACUCCAAGAUCCUGGAAUGGGGAGAAAGCGCUUGUGUGGGGCUUUUAACGAACUGAAAUUUCAGAGUUUUGCUGUUCAUACAAGGGACAGGGAGGCACAAGAAAUUGGAUCCUGCAAAGAGUUUCUGUUUUGGCCUUGGCUGAUGAAAAUUACAUCGGCCUAGACAAUCUUGUUUUAACAAAGUAAAUCAUGCUUUAUAAAUAGUUACCAGGGGGUCACUUAAAAAAGGCAGCUGAGAUAGAGACAGGAUUACAUUACCAGAAGUGUGAACUUGCAAAACCAUGGUCCGAAACAGUCCCAAUGGUGACAAGACUCGUGCACACUCUCAUGUAACCUGAGAAAAUAUUGUCAAGCUAGGCUGGUGGUUAUAGUGGUGGUGGGUGUUGUUGUUGCUUUGCUUGAGCUUGUAGUGGUUAAAACUUAAAAACUUUUAGAGAAUCUUCAAUUUCCAAUGAAGCUCUUUUUAUCUUUUCAAAUCUUGGAAAGAAGAGUUUCAUAUCAGUUUUUCUAGUGGGCAUUAAUUGCUUGUUUGCUUAUCUGAGACCCUAACGAGGAAACUACCUUGCACGUGAGGGUAUUGGAUUUGACAGUUAUUUCUGUUAUGGUUUAGGGUAAUGAAAAUAGUAUUUAUUUGUGGAA